rnacentral:rRNA from 1 species
GACGAACGCUGGCGGCGUGCUUAACACAUGCAAGUCGAACGGAAAGGCCCUGCUUGCAGGGUACUCGAGUGGCGAACGGGUGAGUAACACGUGGGUGAUCUGCCCUGCACUUCGGGAUAAGCCUGGGAAACUGGGUCUAAUACCGGAUAGGAGCCAUUUUUAGUGUGAUGGUUAGAAAGUUUUUUCGGUGUAGGAUGAGCUCGCGGCCUAUCAGCUUGUUGGUGGGGUAAUGGCCUACCAAGGCGGCGACGGGUAGCCGGCCUGAGAGGGUGGACGGCCACAUUGGGACUGAGAUACGGCCCAGACUCCUACGGGAGGCAGCAGUGGGGAAUAUUGCACAAUGGGCGCAAGCCUGAUGCAGCGACGCCGCGUGGGGGAUGACGGCCUUCGGGUUGUAAACUCCUUUCGCUAGGGACGAAGCUUUUUGUGACGGUACCUAGAGAAGAAGCACCGGCUAACUACGUG